CACGCCNUAAACGAUGUCGAUUAGCUGUUGGGCAGCAUGACUGCUUAGUAGCGAAGCUAACGCGUGAAAUCGACCGCCUGGGGAGUACGGUCGCAAGAUUAAAACUCAAAGGAAUUGACGGGGACCCGCACAAGCGGUGGAUGAUGUGGAUUAAUUCGAUGCAACGCGAAGAACCUUACCUGGUCUUGACAUGUACGGAACCCUCCAGAGACGGAGGGGUGCCUUCGGGAGCCGUAACACAGGUGCUGCAUGGCUGUCGUCAGCUCGUGUCGUGAGAUGUUGGGUUAAGUCCCGCAACGAGCGCAACCCUUGUCAUUAGUUGCCAUCAUUAAGUUGGGCACUCUAAUGAGACUGCCGGUGACAAGCCGGAGGAAGGUGGGGAUGACGUCAAGUCCUCAUGGCCCUUAUGACCAGGGCUUCACACGUCAUACAAUGGUCGGUACAGAGGGUAGCCAAGCCGCGAGGUGGAGCCAAUCUCACAAAACCGAUCGUAGUCCGGAUUGCACUCUGCAACUCGAGUGCAUGAAGUCGGAAUCGCUAGUAAUCGCAGGUCAGCAUACUGCGGUGAAUACGUUCCCGGGUCUUGUACACACCGCCCGUCACACCAUGGGAGUGGGGGAUACCAGAAGUAG
rnacentral:rRNA from 1 species